rfam:Ananas comosus cultivar MD2 ACMD2_Scaffold_3285, whole genome shotgun sequence.
AUCUCUUUGGAGAUAUCUGAUAAAAUGGAAUGAUAUAGAGAAGAUUAGCAUGGUCCCUGCACAAGGAUGACACGCACAGAUCAAGUCAAUGCACACGAUUUA